ACGACCAAGACUCUGAAAAACAGAGAGAAAAGAAAACCAAAAACCAUCUCUUGGCUGGUUUGAAGAAAUUCUAAGGAGAUCCAAGUGCAAUCAAAGCCAAAGAAGUGGAUUAAGCUUAGUUCUAGCAUUUUUAUGAUAUUUCUUGGUGGUUUCCAAGUGGUUUGAGGUUUAGAAAAGCUAGAAGAGAUUGUUUUCGCCGAAAAGUUGCUCGGAUAAGCACAUCAACACCUAAGACACCACUUGUUACAUGGUGAAUUAUAUUUUGGACAGAAGAUAAGUAAAGUACUCAACUGCAACACAAUAAUUACAUGUUAUGUGAAAGUAUGCAUUAUAUGAAUAUUUUGUGAGUAAGUAGUAUUAACAUACAUUGACACUUCAUCAUAAAUUUGUAUGCAUGGCAUAAUAGUGAUACGGUAAAUUAUUAUAUGAUAUAAGACCAUGCAUGAUAUUAUGAUCAUUAUUAUAUGAUGCCUUAGCAAGUUUUGUGCAACAUAAAACAAAAGUUGUAACAAGAAGUUUAAGUUCAGUGCCACUGUUUUGAAAAGGCAAAUGAAAGUGUUAAUAAGUGUAAACGGAGGCCUAUAAUAGGCUUAUAGUGGCUGCCCAAUAAUUUGGGCUAGGUUUUAGUGAACCAAUUAUAUUGUUUGCCAUGUUUCCAUUUUUAUUUCUCCUCCAUAUGAGUUAUUGUUAUAUGUAUUGACACCAAAGUGUGUGGCCACCUUAACUCUUGAGCCCAACGGGGCAAUGAUGGAAUAAGGUUUUUAAUGUGCCCUACUGUGGCGAUGGCUAGCCAGAGGAGAACCCAUGGGAUUUUAUAUGAUAUGUGUAACAAGGCCUGCAAGCAUUGGCUUAAUCAAAUAGUGUGCACAA